rnacentral:tRNA from 1 species
AAUUAAUGAUCUUGAUAAAGAAUAUAUUUUGAAAAUAUAAUAAAGAAAUUUUAAAUUUUCUAUUAAUUU